GAAGGCAUGUACUUUCCCUAAGAAGCGGGAGGAGAGAAAUAAAUAGAGGGCAGUGGGAUGAGAAGAACCUCGCGGGAUGGGAAGCCGCGGAGGGAAGGGCCGUCUUUGGUUACCUGGAGAGCGGGAGCAGCUGCGGAUCCCUUAUGAAGUGCCCGGAUGAAGCUCCAGCGCUCACGCGCUUUCCGCAUUGAGUGCAGCGCCAUCUUGAGAAGGGCGGAGCCGUCUUGUUUGGAAUGACGUCUGUUCAGAGAGCCAAUCCCAGUCUCGCGACUCCUGCUUGCUGGGCGCGGCUUGGGCCUCCAGGCUGCGCAGCGCAGCCGCUAUCGGGCGGACUGCAGUUCUUGCCGAGCAGUCGCAAUGAUUUGUAUGACAGCUGCUAGCCCAAGAGAGAGUUCCAGAAGAGGGCUACCUAACAGGUGCUGUGGCAUUUAGAAGAGGAAUGGAGCCAUUGUCAACGCACAGCUUGCAGGGGAGCAGGAGAGUCAGUCUAAGAAGGAAAUGUGAUGAUGGAAACAGAGGUUGGAAGAUGGAAGAGGACCCAGAGUCAAGGAAUGCAGGUAGAAAAGAAAAGCCUGGAUUCUCCCCUAAAGCCUCCAGAUGGAACACAGCCCUGCCUCCACCUUGAUUUCAGGACUUCUUACCCCAAGAAUCGUGUCUGUCUUCAUCCUAAGGAGUCAACUGCUAUACCUUAGUGAUUUCAAUGUAAUUGUUUGGUCUGUAAGUCAUUCUUGCCACUGUGGUUCUGGGGCCAUUGUUCUGCAACGAUGAAUAAACAAUGUUUUAGAAAUCACUCAUCCAAGAAAGGUGACAAGAUACUGGAAUAGAGGUAUUUGAAAAAUAUUCAUGGGAAUUUUAGAGGAUUGUAGAUGGUCUGAAUACCUGUGAAGACAUCAUCUAAUGUAUCUAAAAACCACAUAAUGCUUCAUCUCAAUGUAUUUUAAGAAUUAAUUUUGUUAUAAGCUAGAAUUUUUCAUUUUGGUUUUAAUAAUAACAUCAAAAGGAUUUUUUAACAUAAAUUAGAAAGGGCAUACAUGGAGAAGUAAAGAAGAAUUCUUCUUGGGAUUAGCCAAAAAUUAGUGAGAGAUUACAUAUUUCCUUAGAUGAAAAAUCCUACAGGCAAACUUUUAAUGUCAGGGAGAGGAAUACUUUAUUACCUAAUAAUGUAGAUGAAAAGAAUAGCUAAGCAUUCUUUUUUAAAGCAGUAUACAGAAAUGAGGGAAAGGCUAAGAGGUUAACUCAUUUCUAUUUUGAACUCUAUUUUUUUUAAAACCCUUGCUCCAAAUUUUACUUACUAUCUUUUAAAUGUCAUCCUGCUAGAGUGUAAGUCUUUAGUUUUAGUUGCUUAAUAAAAAUUAAUUUUUUGUGACAAAA
rnacentral:lncRNA from 1 species